CCUACGGGGGGCUGCAGUAGGGAAUAUUGGACAAUGGGCGAAAGCCUGAUCCAGCCAUGCCGCGUGAUGGAUGAAGGCCCUCUGGGUUGUAAAUAUCUUUUAUCUGGGAAGAAACAAUCUUAUUCUUAAGAUCUUGACGGUACCAGAGGAAUAAGCACCGGCUAACUCCGUGCCAGCAGCCGCGGUAAUACGGAGGGUGCAAGCGUUAUCCGGAUUCACUGGGUCGAAAGGGGGCUGAGGAGUGCGGAUAGAACGCUCCGAGCUUAACUUGGAACCUGCCAUUGAUACUGCCAGUCUUGAAUGUCGUAGAGGUAAGCGGAAUUUUGCAUGUAGCGGUGAAAUGCUUAGAUAUGUUACAGAACACCAAUUGCGAAGGCAGCUUACUAUGCGAUGAUUGACGCUGAGGCACGAAAGCGUGGGGAGCAAACAGGAUUAGAUACCCCGGUAGUC
rnacentral:rRNA from 1 species